UCAGUGCCACAUCCACACGGCUCUUCAACACCUCCAGGGACGGUGACUCCACCACCACCCUGGGCAGCCUGUGCCACUGCCUCACCGCUCUUGCUGAGAAGAAGUUGUUCCUAAUACCCAACCUGAAUCUCUCCUAUUACAGCUUGAGUCCAACACCUCUUGCUGUGUUGCUGUUACCUCAGAGAAGAGGCUGAUCCCUAUCUCUUCAGAGCCUCCCUUCAGGUGGUUGCAGAGAGUGAUGAAGUCUCUCCUGAGCCUCCUCUUCUCCAGACUGAGCAACUCCAGUUCCUUCAGCUUCUCCCCGUCAGCUCCAGACCCUUCACAGCUUCAUUACACUUCUCUGGACACAUUCCAGGGCCUCGAUGUCUUUCUUGUAGUGAGGGCCCCCAAACUGAGCACAGUACUUGAGGUGCAGCCUUACCAGUCCCAUACUUGUUUGAAGCCCCAUAUCCAAAAUGUUAUUAUAGUAAUUCUGGAACACUUUAUGAUCUUCUAGCACUCUAUGAUCUUUUUACCACUAUCCAUCAUAUUUUUAGAAGCCAUGGCAGUCCAGUGAAGUUACCACCAACUGGAGUUCUGAAGAAGGGAAAAAAAGGAAGGCCCUGGAGAAGUGCAGACAAGUCAGUCUCUCCUCUGUGCCUGUUAGGACUAUGGAGCAGAACCUGGAAACUAUGCUAAGGCAGAUGGAAAAUGAGGGGGUGACAGCCACCAUGGCAUCAGUAAGGCUAAAUUGUGCCUGAAAAGUUUGGUAGCCUUCUGCAAUGGGGUUACAACACUGGUGGAUAAGAGCAACUGAGGUCAUUUACCCAGACACAUGCAAAGUGUUUGACACUGUCCCACAUUACAUUCUUGUCUCUAAAUUGAAGAGACAUGAAUUUGAUGGAUGGACCACUCAGUGGAUAAAGAAUUGGAUGAAUGGUUGUGCUCAAAGUGUUGUGUUCGCUAUCCAGGAGGAGACCAGUGAUUAAUAACAUGCCUCAGGGGUUGGUAUUGGGACCAGUACUGUUUAAAAUCCUUGUUGGCAAGAUGAACAGUGUGACUGAAUACACCCUCAGCAUAUUUGCUGAUGACACUAAGCUGUGUAACAUGGUUGGCACACUGGAGGGAAGGGAUGCCGUCCACAGGGACCUUGACAGGCUUGAGAGGUGGGCCUGUGCAAACUUCGUGGAGUUCAGCAAGGCCAAGUGCAAGGUCUUGCCCAUGGCUCAGGACAAUAUGAUAUUAUAUGGGACAAAUACAGGCUGGGCGGAGAAUGGAUUGAGUGCAGCCCUGAGGAGAAGGACUUGGAGAUGCUAGUUGAUGAGUAGCUUAGCAUGACCCAGCAGUGUGCACUUGCAGCCCAGAAAGCCAGCCAUAACCUGGGCUGCAUGGAAAGAAAUGUGGCCAGCAGGUUGAGGGAGGAGGUUCUCCUCCUCUACCUUUCCCUUGUGGAUUUCACCUGCGUCUAACUCUUGGGUCCCCAAUGUAAAAAAAUCAUGGACGUGCUAGAGUGGGUCCAGAGGAGGAUUAUCAGAGAACUGGAGCACCUCUCUUGUGAAGUGAGACUGAGAGAGCUGAAGUUGUUCAGCCUGGAGAAUAGAAGGCUCCAGGGAGACCAUAUAGCAGCCUUCCAGUACCUAAGGGGGCCUACAGGAAAGCUGGAGAGGGGCUCUAUCAGGGAGUAUAGUGGGGCUGCCCUUUCCAUCCUUGGAAGCAGUUGGUACUCUCACUGAAUCUAAUUCACUUGGCUGUUUUCCCAACCUCUGCUCCGUGGGCUGUUCUGCUUGGGCAGGUAAGUUCAAGUGCUCUGUCAUAAGAACUCCUUGGGGACUAACCCUUUACAGGUGGAGCAACCCACCUGCUAAAACCUAGCUGCCUAGUGAAGACCUGAAUCAUUUUCCUGUUAAAAAAAAGUGUUUUUCUGCAGGCAUAUUUAUUUAUUAAUUUAUUUUCCCUCCAAACCAGCAAGGAUGAUUGUAGAACUACAACAAAUGUUAGGGGAAUUCAGAACAGGAGCUGCAGCCCUAUUAAAUGAGUUAGGAUGCUGACGUGGCUGACCUCAGUUAGCAUCAGAGCGCUGUACUGAAAGUUCUUCGUAGUGUUAUUUGCAGAACCAAGCACCUGUGCCUACAUUUUCCUACCCUCCAAAGGAGUUUUCAAUCUAACACAUAGCAUAUAUGAUAAAUGAUUAUGAGCACCCAAGAAGUAUUGUGUGAGUGAUAAUUUAUUUUCUGAGCUACCAUAGUAAUCUAUUGUAAAAGGGAAAAAACGUCCCAAUUAAGUACUUGUAGCUUCAGUGAUAAAAUAUCUCCUCUGUGCCUCUUAUAGGAUAGUCUAAUAAGCCUGAAAAGUUAAUUUAAGAGCAAACUGUUAUGUGAUUUUAAUAGAUUAGAAAAUAAGCGCUAAUCAGAAAGGCCUUCCACUGGAAAAGAUGAUGAGGGCCCACUUGAAUAUUUGGCUGUUUUAGAGGAUGUUCACAAAAUAUCAGUGGUAAUAAGAACUUCUUUUGGAAAGUAUGCAAAUAACGGAUGUGGUUUGGUGCAGGCAGUGCUAACAGUUGAGCUUUGCCAUCUCACAUACUGGCAGAGUAGCAGCAAGAACUUUACACUGAGACUCGGGAGAGCUGGGAUCUAUUUUCAGCUUUGCUUUGGGCCUAACGAUUGGCUUCUAAUUAUUCUGUGCCUCAGUUCUCCCAUCUGCAAAAAAGAAAGAACGAGACCAACACUCUUUACAAAGAGCUAUAAAUUCUGUUGAUGAAACGUGCUUUAUUAAUAGCAACGAUGCCUUCUCGCUCACACUGCUGUUAAUAAAGUAGUUGUAAAUUCACAAAUAUCCAAUUAUGAUAAUGUGCAAGGGGCUAUGGAGAAAAUAAAGGAGAACCUCCAUGCCUGUUCCAUCACUGCUGUGGAAAAUGGGAUAUUACCUCUUGUCCCACUUUUAGAGUCAGAAUGGUGAUGCAUGCAGGGUAUGAGGGAUGCUGGUCUGUUUCCUCGAGGUCUGUCACAGAAAUGACCACUAAACUGUAAGUCUCAGCAGGGGCCAUUGAAUAGGCCUGGAACACAAGCCACUCUCUCAGCCAGCUAGCACUUUAGCUAGCUCUCUUACAUGAUUAAAAGUGUACCUUCAAGUGGAAAAUGUCUCUUCCUUCAGUCUAAACUCAGGCUAGAUACUGCCUUGAGUCAUACCAGAGUAAGUCUUUUAGAUGUUCACAUCAGUGGUACUUCUACAGACCUGAGACCCCAAUCUGCCACCCGCUUGCCACGUGUAGGUCUUUGUAUCUGCCUUGAACUGAUGUUAGGUAUCCUGGAUGCAAGGGUCUUGCUGAAUGAACACAUUGCAGCAUUUUGUAUCAGAGAGAUGCCUCAGCAGAUUUUAGUUACAUAUUAGAACUACAACUUGCUCGUUGCCACAAGAGGGAAGCCAAUACUAAUAAUAUAACUGUAUUCGUUUAUUAACUAUGGUUAAUGCGGUAAGAUUUUUAUCCAUUUCAAGGCUGUUGCGUGUCUCCUUCUCUUUCCUUUUAGCAAACUUGCAUUUGAUCGUAUGUCAGCAACUAAAGAACAUUAUUCUACAUUCCAUUUGCUCAAUGCCCUGUGAAAUGAAUUUCAUGGAUUUGUCUCUCUCGUUUGAACAGCGCACACAUAAACCCGAAACAGAAAGUAGGGGCAAAACUGAGCUGUUUGUUUUCAUAGCAAAUUUAAGCAGUCCACUUGCCUGUAAGGGAAAAUUUUGUGGGCAUGGCAGCUGGUCCCUUAUUUGGCUGAAUGUUAAUAACUUAAACUAGAUAUUAGGAAGAAAUUGUUUACUGUGAGGGUGGUGAGACAUUGGAACUUGUUUCCCAGCAAGGUUGUGGAUGCCCCCUCCCUCCCUGGAAGCACUCAAGACCAGGCUGGAUGAGGCUCUGAGCAACCUGGUCUGGAGGGAGGUGUCCCUGCCUAUAGAAGGGGCUUGGAGCUUGGUGAUCUUAAAGGUCCCUUCCAACCCAAGCCAUUCUAUGAUUCCGUGAUUCUAUGAAUGUGAAAAAUUAAAGACUAUUUGACGAGUCAUAGGCAGCAUGACUACAGAGCAAGAACUACUCAAAAUAGUUGCAACUGAAUUCAGUGAGCCUGCUGACUCUUGUUCUUUGGCUUGCUCUGCAACGUAUGAGAGCACCUUCUUUAUAGAUUCAUUUAUUAUGUCAGACCUGAUCUCAUUUACUGUGCUGCAAACCAGAGUAACUGCUGAUUUCAGGAACUUCACUGAAUCACUUAUCUUGUGGUAUGUUAUCUGUGAAAGUCACCCUUAUUUAGAUCACAUGCUGGAGGCUUAAAUCUAAUAGGUCAAGAUUUGUUAUUGCAUUUCAUCCUGCAUCCAGGCAUUAAAAUAUAUGCACGGACUUUUUGGAAAGGUCUUCAGAAACUGGCGAGAGCAAUGGUUUUGUAUAUAAGAAUUUAAAAGACUGUUUGGGUGUUAAACAGAAACUGAACAGGGAUUCAUCAACCACAUUUCCUUGGUUAGUAUUUUCCUGCAGCAAGAUGCAUAUACAUGAGAGUGACUGUUCAGAAGAUUUCUGUGAAGCAUUACUGUCAUAUGACAAUCAUUACAGAUCAUAAUUCUUGGUAUUUGGAAGUCAUGAUUUGGCUCGUGUAUUUCUUUUCUGGAGACAGAGCAGAAACAUGAAGCUAAAGGCAGUGCAGAAAAACACAUAUGUUGAGGCUUCCUACGAAGCCCCCUAUGGUGUUCCCUGCAAGUGCAGGAGAAGGAAUCGGGGCAAGGUUAUGGAAGUCACAGACAUAGAUUGCAGUCCCCAAAGGGCCUUUGCAUAACUAGCUUCUCUGUUAACUUUUUUUUUUUUAUUAAUACUUUAGGAACAUUUAAUGAUAUUUUGGAUAUUUUCUUCUCCUUCCCUCUCCCUUUAGAGCAGUCAUACCUUAAAAAUGUUUUCCUAAAGGUACUGCUGUCUAAUAGAUAUUGUUAAGCGUAGAAGAGAAAACAUAGCCUGAAAUAUUACUGCCUCCCAGGUGGACAGACACCGCUCACAGACUCUCCCAGUGCAUUGUUUCUCAGGUAUUCUCACCCUACUUCUGUUUUUCCUUUCCCUCCGGUGCUGUUUUAGGCCCCAGCCCUGCAUGUAUGUAUGCAGGUGUUUUUUAUGGACGUGGGCAGUCACACUGCCUCCAGUGAGAAUACUCACAUGACCAAAAGCAUGCACUUGCGUUGGGAUUUCCUGAAUCAAGGGCAUAAAAGGAAAUGGCCAGGUUAAUAAUGGGUUGGUUUUAUCCCUGAUGUAAUGCCAUUGACACCAGUGGAAUUAUACAGGGCUGAAAUAGAUCCAGUACGUCUAAACAGGGAACUACCUCCAGCUCUCUCACCUGCCACUUUCUGUAUUGAUGGUGUAACCAAAGUCAGUCCUUUCUCCAGGUUUGGGCAGCUGAGGCUGAGGGAAUUCAGAUCACUUUGCACCAGCAAGAGCUGCUCUGCUUCAGCACAGCAUCUCCUGAGAUAUCAGGUGUGCUUGCCCUGCAGAGCUAUUAGAGAUAUAUGCCUGUGGAGCUUCACCUAUAAGCCGCAUGUGCUCAUUGCCAUACUGAAGCAGCUCUCACUUGUUCUGCCAUUUCCCUGCUCGUAGCUGAUGCUGAGCCAUUCUGUAGCCUUAGCAGGAGCUGCUGGUCUUGGGGCAAGAGCCCUGCUUUUCUCAGUUGGUGUCUGGGUUUUUCCACUAUGUGGUCUCCUCCUACAGCAGUGCUCUUCUGCGGUCCUUGUGGGUAGUAAAUGCUCCAGUUGAAUAUUCACACUUGAAAACAGCUGAUGUGUAAACAUGAAGAUUUUAUAUAUGUAUAUAUAUAUAUAUAUAUGUAAAAGGUUUAUUAGGCUUAGAGAAAGACCCUCUUCAAAAUGUUUCUCUCUUCCCUUCUGUGGCCAUCCUGCCCUUUGCCUGUGGGAUGUUAGGGUCCCCCAAGAGCUCACUUUUGUGGAGCUCUGAUUUGGGAGCUCUGUGAACCUCAGCUAGACUUGAGUGCAGUUCAGCAUGGUUUCUUCUGGUCUACAAACACAUGUACCCUACCUGCCUGCUCACCCAAAUGCUCCCUAACAUGGAACGGGCGUCCAAACGUCAAAAACUAUGGAGCCAGAAGAGGGAGGAAUAGGGGAGAAAACCAACGCUAAGACACCCUCCAGCAUCCAGGGCUCAUGACUGCUUUGACAAGAUCUAUCUUUAGUUAUAAUAGUGAGUCACAUCAUUGUGAUUUGACUUUACGGUUAGUUUGAGGUAUGAGCCAGGCCAUGGGAUUGAGAGCGAGAGCAUCACGGGAUGCAGCUGUAAAAUUCCACUACUCUGUAAAUCAGGUUUGAAGAGCAUUAAGAAACAGGAAGCAGGCAGGGGAGGCUGGGUUUUUGUGUGUGGGGUUGGUUUUUUUUUUUUCCUUUUGUUUUGGGUUUCUUUUUUUCAGCAGAAAAUGAUCGCAGUGCCCGCUGCGUCGUGAUGUCGUUGAGCAGCGCAGGGAGCGGAACGGAGGGCAUGUAUCGGUAGGCUGCUGUAAUAUUCCCGAGCCGAGCGCUCCUCUUUCCGCACUGCUCCGUGUGCCAAGUGUCACGUCCAGCCCGCCCCACCAGCCACCACGAGCUGAUGCAGGAUUUUCGUGGAUGGUGCCGUGUUGCUUAGCAACCUUGCUAGGCAGCAUGCUAUACAUCACGCACGGCGCCGGCUACUACGGUACGGUGAGGCUGCUUCCAGUUCUUUUUUAUCGGCUAUGAAAUAUUAAUUUUCUGCUGGCAGGUAGAGUUGGCACCAGGAGAUUGAGGGGUGCUCCCUCCCAGGUGGACGCGUGCUGCUCCGUAACGGGAAUCACAGGCAGCCCCAGGCUGAGCUGAGCUCCUGGGAUGUAAAAUGUGGGCACGAUUUCUGAGAUGUAAACGCUUUCUGUGCCUGAGAUGGGCUACAGGUUGGCUUUAGCACAAAGAAAUUAAUAAAUAACCAGGCGGUGAAGAUUAUGUGACAGACAUAAUAAUGUAAGUACAAUAUAUUCCCCCUCCUUUUUUUCUGUGACUCAUAUAAGCAAAUCCUGAUGUGAGGACCACAUGUUUGCGUACACAAAGAAAAGGAAAUUUCCUCGACAUUUGGGGAUAUAUAUAUAUAUAUAUAUAUAUAUAUAUAUAUUUUUUUUUUUUUUUUUUUGAGGCUCCUCCACUCCAGGGCGUUGUGGAUGAGAGCCCAUAUCACAAACACCAGUGACAGUUUUCUAGAUUGAUGGGUGUAAUUGCAGUGGAGAAUGCCUGCCAAGCCCCCUCCCUGAAAUGAUUGCAUAACCCAGCUGUUGCAUGUGCAAAAAAAAAAGGGGGGGGGGGGGGGGGAGGGGGGAGAAACCAGUCCUAUUCUAUAAGAAGCUGAAUUGUUAUUGCAGAAGGUAAACAACAGGGAGCCUGGUCCUCAGAGCAGCAGAGGAGAUGGUAUCUACAGCUCAUUUCAGGUGACAAGAAGGGAAGGAUGCAGAAGAAUGAAUAAAAGGCAGUAGAUCAUUUCUGCCAUCUGAAUGCCAUGUUUUUCUACUGAACAUCUGCAGACAGACACAUUGUUUAAGCCAAAGUGAAGAGGGAAGCAAGAGGGGAAAACCACAGUGUCAAAAUACACAACGGCUUAUGAAAUGAACUGCUGAAUUGCCCCUGAUCUACACUUGCAGAUAUGGCACACCACUGGUGGAGCCAGCAAAACCGUGCUUUGUCCUCCCAUUACUUUUUAGAGUCCAGAAAUUUAGUUUUAGCUUAACUCAUUGUAUUGCAGGCAUACCUUGCUGCAUUUUGUGGUGGGUGGUGGAAUCAGACAAAUCAGACUGCCCUACCAUAGAGCACACACCUCGCAUUACAGAUCUCAUAGGACUUUGAUACAGAAAUUGUUCUCGAGGUGUUCGGUGGCACUUGUCCAACAGCAGAACAAAGACAGCAACAGAGCUUCCAUUUCAUGCUUUUCACCAAAUCGUGGCAGGCUGAAGUGAAAUCAGUGCCCAUGGUUCAGCUCCUCUGUUGGGCUCCUCAGCCUGUGUAUGUAAGGCCAAUUUAAUCCUAGGAGAAGAUGCUCAGAAAUUGUGCUGAGAGGAGUAGCUGGAUGAAACGCUUUGGAGUGAGAACUACUACCACAGGAAAGUAAAAUACCAUCCCUUCCACAGCUGUGCUUCAGGCACAUCUAAAGGCCUGUCCUGGUUUUGCUGCCAUUUCUGUUGAUGAGAAAAAAAUUGAAUUUUUAUUAUCUGUCUUUUUUUUUUUUUUAAACUGGAGAAAUGUAAUUGGAAUGAUUGCCCAGUUAUAUUACUUUUUUUUUUAGCAAGAGAUUUCUUCUAUAAAAUUUCACAAAUAUUGACAGCAGUCACAGUAAAAUUUAAGGUGUGUGAAAAAUUUGCAGAAUUUCACCAUCCGUUUGCACAUCUUUCUGUCACUUCAGAAAGCUUCUCAGCUUAAACACUUGGCAACUGACGGAGCUGUUCAAAUUUUAGUGAAUGAGGACCAAGUAAAUAACUGCAAGGCCUGUAACUGCGUGCAUUCACAGAGCUGAAUUGUGCCGGAUGGACACCAGUGACUGAUGGAGGGAUACUGGACCCAGCCCAUAUCUAGGACAGCGAGCGUGCCGUGCCCUGUUCCUUUCAACACUAAGACUUCAGCAGUAGGAAGGUACUAGGAGCAUAAAUGUCAUUUAUACCUGCUGCAAGAUCUCUGCGGGGUGAUAAUACAAAUGACAACCUGUCUCAGUCCUUCCCUAGGGCUGAGAGUUAUCGCAGCAAAAGUUAGAAGAUAAAUUACAUCUUACAACAAAACAGACUCGAAUACAACACAUGCAAGCAUCUCAGUCUCUGCAGAAAGCAGAAAGAGUGUUAUGCUGGGCAGAAGUAAAAAUAAGCAAGCUAAUCUCGAAUGACACUGGAAAAGAAAAUAGCUGAAGGACUUUUCCUCUCUGUGAGUUUCAAGGGCAAGCUUUUAAUUAACCAUCACCUGCUACCUGGUUAAUGGAGCACCCUCCUCAUCUAGGUGGUGACCACUGAAUAAUGUUUGAGAUACCUGCCUGCUGGGUGGCAAACAUGACAGAAAUGUCUCUAGGAGGCCUCCCUGUGAAGGACUGGAACCACGUACACAAAGUAUAAUGCAGAAGUCAUGAGCUAAGUAAUGAAGUUGAAAAGAAAGAAGUCCUGUUUUUAAGCUUGGUGCAUUGAGUGCUUAAUGUGGUAGAUGUUCUUAGUUGAAAGAAUAUCUGACCUUGUAAUAGAGAGAUGUAAUAAUGUGAACACACAAAAAGGAUAAUUAAACUUAUUCAGACCAUCACGAUCAUCUCAUCAAACUAAUUGCAAAAUUCAGACCAUCAAUCCUUAGUCUACAAUUCAUAUCACUAGCCUUGAACUAAUCUAACUAACUAAUUGGGCUAUAAUAUGUGUGACUGUUGAAAUGGUGUUAAUUUGGUGUUUAAACAUUACUUGCAUUUUGGCUUGCACUACUGAUGUGAUAUUACUGUGUAGACACCCCAGGUUUGCCUACCAAAAUAUGCACAAAGGCUUUAUGUGCAAAGUUUUAUUUUAAAUGUUGCUGAAGAAGUUUCACCUCACAUUUAUGCUUAUUUCUGUUUAUAUCUACUUCUAUGUAUUUUAUGUUUUAUUUAAAUAUUUAUGUUUAUAUAUUAAAUUGCAGUGAACUGAAAAAGCUUCCCUUCCCUUCCCUUCCCUUCCCUUCCCUUCCCUUCCCUUCCCUUCCCUUCCCUUCCCUUCCCUUCCCUUCCCUUCCCUUCCCUUCCCUUCCCUUCCCUUCCCUUCCCUUCCCUUCCCUUCCCUUCCCUUCCCUUCCCUUCCCUUCCCUUCCCUUCCCUUCUUUUGAAAGAACUAACCCUCCCAAGCAGAGAAGAAAAAAGACACUCAGGAUUUUUGUGGACGUAGACAUUUCAAGAGGUUUUUCCUUUUUUAGGUGAGGGGAAAAUUAAAAUAAAAAUAGUAUAACUCCUUCCCUUAUUCAAUCAUUUUUAAUACCAGAGUCUUAAAAUCUGGUUUGGAAGAUGAACGUUCUCUACAGAAAUAUCUAAGCAUGAAUUUUUUUUGGACUGGUCCUGGAUAAGUGACAGUAACACCCUCCUGAAUAUUUUUCCAAUACAUGGAGGGCUGUUGAUUGCCAGUUCAUAGAUGCUGGGGCUGUUUUGUUUGUUCCCUAAGAUGGUGUUAAUGUUGCUUCCAUCUCACAGUAAAACACCAUGCUGUUGCUAACUAAGAAUUCACUGGAACACUCAAUUAUUGAAAAACAGUUUCAGAAAUCCUUCUGAUUCAUGAAUGUAGCUGUGCUGAUUAGGGGUAGUAGCAACACAACCAUAGCCAGCUUCCUCUCUGUCAAUAAAUCUGUUGUUUCAGUCUGGGUGAGUAACACGAUCUAGCUUCUGAUAUUAUUCUGUUGUUUGGCAUAGUAACGUUUGCACUCAGGUGUAACGUGAACCCGCUGCUGAUGGUCAGUGAAAGCGAUGCCAACCUAUGCUUUGGUCAGCUUGUUGUUGUGCAUCUUAUUCCAGCGAACUGUUUACCUUUGUAAUGUAUGUCAUGUAGUCAAUGCUUUUUUGGGGUUUUGGUUUUUAUUUUUUAGAUUGGAAAAAAUAGAUUCUGAUCUCAGCACCGUGAAAACUGCCUGUAAUUUCGUUAGAGCCGUUGGAGCUACAUUGCCCUAAAGGAUUAACCUGUGGUUUAAUUUACAUAGCAGUAAUGAGCCUGCAAUUCCAUUCACUUUUUCAGCAUUAGGAGGACAGGAGGAGGACAGAAGUUUCCAGCUCCUUGCUCAGGCUUCCUGUUUCAUAGACGGCCUAGGAUUUGUAGCUGACUCUUGUCUCAGUGGCUCCUCGUCUCUAAAUCUGCCAUGAUGACCUUUGGGGUCCUCUUGACAGCCCAUUAAAAUGCAUACUGCGUCUUAAAUUCAUGUUGGAGGGGAUGUUUUCCUCUUCAAAUUUUAAGAGCUGUCCAUUGCAUACGACUAUCAUGUGGUUGUUCAUUCCUUCCUCUUAGGUGUUUUCACCUUCUCCCGUAGCUUCAGCUUGUACUUGAUGAACUAUUACGUCUUCUGGGGAUUUCCAUUUCAUUUGUAUUGAAAGUGUCUUUCAAGCCACCGUGAUAUUCUAAACAAACAACAAAUUAAAAAAGAAAUCCAACA